CCUCCGAGUGAUGCAUCUGGGUCACCUCCCACCCGUGUUUAUUUUACCUUGUUGCUUCGGCGGGCCCGCCUUAAUGGCCGCCGGGGGGCUUACGCCCCCGGGCCCGCGCCCGCCGAAGACACCCUCGAACUCUGUCUGAAGAUUGUAGUCUGAGUGAAAAUAUAAAUUAUUUAAAACUUUCAACAACGGAUCUCUUGGUUCCGGCAUCGAUGAAGAACGCAGCGAAAUGCGAUACGUAAUGUGAAUUGCAAAUUCAGUGAAUCAUCGAGUCUUUGAACGCACAUUGCGCCCCCUGGUAUUCCGGGGGGCAUGCCUGUCCGAGCGUCAUUUCUGCCCUCAAGCACGGCUUGUGUGUUGGGCCCCGUCCUCCGAUCCCGGGGGACGGGCCCGAAAGGCAGCGGCGGCACCGCGUCCGGUCCUCGAGCGUAUGGGGCUUUGUCACCCGCUCUGUAGGCCCGGCCGGCGCUUGCCGAUCAACCCAAAUUUUUAUCCAGGUUGACCUCGGAUCAGGUAGGGAUACCCGCUGAACUUAAGCAUAUCAAUAAGCGGAGGAAAUCAUUACCGAGUGAGGGCCCUCUGGGUCCAACCUCCCACCCGUGUUUAUUGUUACCUUGUUGCUUCGCGGGCCGCCUUUAACUGGCCGCCGGGGGGGCUUACGCCCGGGCCGCGCCGCAAAAACCCCAACAAUGCUCUGUAAAUAUGGUACGGAGGGAAAAAAUAAAUUAUGUUAAACUUUAAACACCGGGAUUCCUUGGUUUCGGCAUCCAUGAAGAACGCACGAAAUGCAUAGUAUGUGAAUUUGCAAUUCAUGAAUCAUCAGUCUUGAACGCAUUGGUCCUGGUAUUCCGGGGGGCAUGUGGGUCGAACGAUCAUUUCGCUCUAACGCUGGUGUUUGGACUACCCCUCCAUCCCGGGGAAUGGUCGUAAUGAUAUUGGUUGUAC
rnacentral:rRNA from 1 species